GAUCAACAUGGAGUUACCACAACAUUACAACAUUUGUUACAAAAAUAACUUACAUCAGAGUGCGGAAGAUUUAUAACUUAAUUUACAACAUAUGAUGAAAUACAAACUUAACUAAAUUUCCAAAAGGUGUAUAGAGUAGCGGAAGCAUCUUAGGUGAAGCUUCUAAGGUAGAAGAGGUGGAUAAAUCAUGUCGCGCCCACCGACAUGACCUCCAUUAGCAGACUAAGUCAGCACCUGCAACAGGGGUUAUAAAACCCUGAGUACAAAAGUACUCAACAAGACUUAACCGACUAAAAAAAAGAGGUGAAGACUCAGGUAUGCAGGCUAUAGGGAUUCAAGGUAAAGCUUUAUCAAGAUAAAGCAUUUCUUUUGCAUAAAAGCUUACUAAGAUUAAACCUACUUUCAAGUUUUUAACUCAAGGUUAUCAUUUAUGACUAACCAAAACUAUUAUCAAACUUGCAUAAGCAUACCACAUCUUUCUUAUACCAAAGAUUCACUUGUUACUACGAUGAUGGUGUGAGGAUUGAGGCUCCAUAUCCGAGGAAACACGGCGAUUCGAAUCGAUUAAACCCAGCUGGGGAUUCAGUACCACACGACAUAUGUAGAACUUAAUCUUGCAUAUGUCAACCUUUUCUAUAGAUCCUCCCAUACAAGAACGGGUCCAGCGUCACCCGAGAGUACAGUACACCACCAUCCUACAGCCAAUCUAGAUGUUUCCCGGUCAUCUCAGAUCCGUAAGGUGGGUACACGCUACUCUCGCCAUCUUUCCACUCCCAGUACGCGGUUAGCCGUUCUCAAGUAUCGGAAUAGCUAUAGGUAAGGCUUACCGCCGCAUGUGGGCUGUACUCAAAGGUCUCAAUCACAACAGGCCAAUCAACGGUACGGUCCUUAAUCGACUCAGUUGGAGACACUACUUUAAGACUCCAUUCUUAAAGCAAGUCCACCGACCGGUCUCAAAUUGAACAUCAUUAACUGUAAGAGUAUUCCACAACGACCCUUCAAACGUUCUCAUUUGAAAACUUAUCUAAUAAGCAGGGCUAAGCAUACUAAGCAUUUUCAUAAAGCAGGUAUCAAGGUUAAUAUGGAAAUCAUCAAGGUAGAUAAUGCAGCAAAUAGGAUUCACUCAACUCCUAUUCACCUAAUGCAUCAUAUUAACUCAAGUGAUAUAAAUAACUUUAUGAAAAUACAAGGAUAGGGUUUAAUGUCCGGGGCUUGCCUUGACCGGAAGGGAAAUUCGGCAACUCAGCAAAACCCGAAGGAUCCACAAACUCGGAAGCAACCCACUGAGGAUCAGAUUCCUCCGGAGCGUAUUCUAUACGUAAAAGUGCAUAUGCAUGAUCAAUGAGAUGCUCAUGACAUGAUAAAGACAGGUUACAUGUUCUUGGAUGAUAACAACAAACAUAACUACCUCGAGUACAACUUACCUUCACGGUAUAGAAACAAACUAACUUAGUUAUCAAAACAUAGAUUACUACUAAGCAAAUUUUAUCAUCUUCAUUAAGCAAGGUUGUGUAGCUAUCAUACAACAAAGAUCAUUUAUAUGAAAUAAACCAUAACCAGGGAGCAUAUCAUGCCAAGUAACCACUGGUUGUCAAUCAAUCCCAAAGAUCAAUCAAAACCUAAAAUGAUUAGGUUUUCUAUUUAUCUUAAUCAAUUCUUAAUUAAAUAUUAAUGGCAGUAACUAAGUAUUAACAUCAAACAAUAAUUAAGUGCCAAAGGUCAUAAAAGAUAAUGACCUCAGGUCAUCACACAAUCCCAAAAGCACUCAAAUUCUAAUUUGGAAAUUAAGUUACUCAUUAUUUAAGUAAAGGCUAGCUAAAAACAAUCAACCCUAUUUGCACACAUAACCAGGACAGCAGCAUAUACACAACUUCAUUCAACCAUAAUUAGAGAUCCAAGCAUCCAACAAAGGUGAUAUUAGGCUUUCUGGAAAGCUUAUAUAAUUUUCUACAACUUUGUUAUUAUCUUCGAGAACUGAUUUAAUAGAUAACAUGGCCAAACAGUAUGAAUAAACAAUUCUGUCCAGACCUUGGACAGAAUCAGACAUUAAGCUUCAUACAUCUAUAACCAGAGUUCUAGAUCACCAAAAUUCAUGAUCCAUAACAUUUUGGAAAUCUUAUGAAAAUUACUACAAUUCAUCUUUUAUCAUGAAAGCAUGAUUCAUAAGUUUAGUAGGUUGAAAUUGCACAACUACAGAAACUGAUCCAGAAUUUGACAGAGAGGAACCAUUUCUGAAACUUAAAUUUAAACAGGCAUAACUCAGAAACUAUAGGGCCAAAUGCCACCAAAAUUUAACACCAGCUAGAUACAUGAAUUCUAUACAACUUUGUUAUAGACAAGUUUCAUAUCCAACAUUAUUUACCUAGAGCAAUUCAUAAGGUUCCAGAAACUGUCCAGAAAUCACUAAUAAUUUAAUUAUAGGCAAAUAACAUUUUAUUUAUAUUUCAAACUUGGACCUGGGCAAAACCCAGCUCACAAAUAGUUGAAAUACAUCAAAGAGAUACUAGAAAACAUCAUGGUCAUCCCUAAAUAAAUUCCUUUCAUGUUUUUAUUAAUUUAUUUAGGUAAAUAGACAAAGCAAUAACCAUAUAUCAAAAGUACACAGUAAAUUCUGAGAAAACUACAGAAGCUCAUAUAUGUUCUCCAAAGUCUACUGUAUAAAUUUCAUGCCAUUUGAAUAAGUAUAGCAAUUUCCAUGAAAAAGAUAAAUUUCCAUCACAAGGAAGCAUGUAACAACAAGAUAAAUAAGAAACUCAACAUUUUCUACAAACACAUAGCUAAAUUAUGUAUCUAUAUGAUAUAACAACCUCAUAUAAAGGCAGAGGAACUGUAUUUUACAUUUAUUUAUUUUUAGUUUAAUUGUAAACUAUUUAAUAAGCACUAAACAAGAUAAAUUAAUAACUUAACCAUAUAUCAUCUACUGAACAUGAAAUUUUUACUGUAACACUCACAUAGCAUCAUAAAAACACCAUAAAAAUUUCAGGCCCAAAGGAGCUACACAGGAUUAGAUAUGAAUUUCUCCUUUUUAAACAUAAUUAAAAGGCAUAAAUCAUAACUAAUUAUUUUACUACAAAACAUGGUCAGUUUCAUAUUUUUAAUAAACACUAGACAUCUCAAGGAGCACAACAAAAUUUGGUUCACCAAAAUUGGAGCUACCAAACUCUAGAUAUGAAUUUUCAAACAUUCAACAAAACCUCUACAAACAAGUCCUUAUAGCACUAUUCACCUGAGUCACAGUCUCUGCAAUUAGACCCCUGGGAAACAUCAAAUUGUCGCCCGAAGUCCCUGGCCGCGACUGAAAACAGAGGAACUCGCCGGAGAUCGUGGUUUCGGCGCUGGAGUGCUCGUCGGCGGCAUUGGAGCAGCGGGGAAGCUCGCCCGGACUAGUGCGCACCUGAUGGUGGCCGUAGCUUGUCCUGCAAUGGCUCGAGGUGGCCUGUCCACGUUGAGGUGCUCCUCGGCGGCGUUUUCAGCCGGAGCUGAGGAAGAAAGACGGCGCCCGGGCGAUUGAGAGGGGCAGGGAGGGUUCCUGGGCGUACACGGGGUUCGCAAGGAUAUGGCGAAGGUGUUGGAGAACUCGAAUUGGCCAGAGGGGUUGCGUGUAGAGGGUAUUGGACGGUGGAGCUUCACUGGGUGCUUUCGGUCGUCGGAGUAAGUGAGCUCGAGGUCGGCCGCGCAGGCGCUCAAGAGGUCGAGACGCAGAGGUCACGGGCGUCCACGUCGCGCGGUGACGCGGCCGGCAAGCAGCUGCGUGGCGGCGAGAACGCACGCGCGGCGCUGCACGGCCUGCGGCCGCGCGGUGACUGGACUCGUGAUCCAUAUCCGGAUACUGUAGCAAGCUUUAUCCAACCAGUUUUGUGGUUUUGCAAAAUUCGCCCAAAU
rnacentral:lncRNA from 1 species